CGGACGGGUGAGUAACGCGUGGAUAACCUGCCUCACACAGGGGGAUAACAGUUAGAAAUGACUGCUAAUACCGCAUAAGCGCACGGUACCGCAUGGUACAGUGUGAAAAACUCCGGUGGUGUGAGAUGGAUCCGCGUCUGAUUAGGUAGUUGGUGAGGUAACGGCCCACCGAGCCGACGAUCAGUAGCCGACCUGAGAGGGUGACCGGCCACAUUGGGACUGAGACACGGCCCAA
rnacentral:rRNA from 1 species